AAGUCAUAGGAGCAGAUCCAGUGUGAAAUCAUAACUAACUCUUCCUGGUUACAGUACCAGCAGAGGUGUCUUGGCCUCGCCCACCUCCUUGGAGAGUCCCAAGGAAUUGGGGAGGAAUGAGAGAUGAACGCCUUCUUGCAGAUCAAGGUCACGUUUUCCUGCCUUCAUCAACAAAUACUGAAACCCUCAGCAGGUGGAAGAAGUUAACUAUGUGAUGACCAUAUUGUAGCCAUGACGCAAACUGCCUCAUUUCCAAGACAUGACCUCAAAGAAAUGGGGACAAAGUGAUCCUGGAACUGAAGACUAACUGUUCUUAAAACAAUCAGGAUGAUGCUGAUCAGACCAAGGCCAUGACCAAAUUAAAGAUAACUGUCAGAGCUGACUGUGCCGUUUCUGUACAUAACUCCACCUAUAAAAGAUCUUAUCCAUUGAUUGUUGGGGGCAGGGUGAGUUGG